UUUAUUGGAACUGGAAUGAAAGGCUUAACAAACAUAUAAUUUUUUAUUUUUAGAUGUUAUAAUUUUUAAUUUACGUAAAAAUACGUAAAUGAAUUUAAGGGACGAUAAGACCCUAAAAGCUUUAUUAUUUAAAUUUUUGUUAUUAUUUAGAUUUGAUUGUUUAAUGUAUUUUAACUGGGGCGGUUGUUUUUUUAACAAAAAUUUUUUUUACAAAUAGGAUUAAAGGUCCUUAAAAUUAGGAUAGAUUGUUUAAGUUACUUUAGGGAUAACAGCGUUAUAAUAAUAGGGAGACCUUAUUUAUAUUGUUGAUUGCGACCUCGAUGUUGAAUUAAAUUUUUCUAUGUAAAGCAGAAAUUAUAUAUGAAAGUUUGUUCAACUUUUAAAUUUUUACAUGAUCUGAGUUCAAA
rnacentral:rRNA from 1 species